AUCAACGCUGGCGGCGCGCCUAACACAUGCAAGUCGAACGAGAACGGCUUUCAGCAAUGGGGGCCUAGUAAAGUGGCGUACGGGUGAGUAACACGUGGAUAACCUGCCCUUGAGCGGGGGAUAACCUGGGGAAACCCGGGCUAAUACCGCAUAACAUCUUGAUGGCGUAAGUCGUUGAGAUCAAAGGAGCAAUUCGCUUAAGGAGGGGUCCGCGGCCGAUUAGCUUGUUGGCGGGGUAACGGCCCACCAAGGCAAUGAUCGGUAGCCGGUCUGAGAGGACGCACGGCCACACUGGAACUGACACACGGUCCAGACUCCUACGGGAGGCAGCAGUGGGGAAUCUUGCACAAUGGGGGAAACCCUGAUGCAGCGACGCCGCGUGGGUGAUGAAGCUCUUCGGAGUGUAAAGCCCUUUCGGUGGGGACGAACUAAGACGGUACCCACAAAAGAAGCCCCGGCUAACUACGU
rnacentral:rRNA from 1 species